GUGGGGAAUCUUGCGCAAUGGGCGAAAGCCUGACGCAGCCAUGCCGCGUGAAUGAUGAAGGUCUUAGGAUUGUAAAAUUCUUUCACCGGGGACGAUAAUGACGGUACCCGGAGAAGAAGCCCCGGCUAACUUCGUGCCAGCAGCCGCGGUAAUACGAAGGGGGCUAGCGUUGCUCGGAAUUACUGGGCGUAAAGGGCGCGUAGGCGGACAGUUUAGUCAGAGGUGAAAGCCCAGGGCUCAACCUUGGAAUUGCCUUUGAGACUGGCUGUCUUGAGUACGGGAGAGGUGAGUGGAACUCCGAGUGUAGAGGUGAAAUUCGUAGAUAUUCGGAAGAACACCAGUGGCGAAGGCGACUCACUGGCCCGUUACUGACGCUGAGGCGCGAAAGCGUGGGGAGCAAACAGGAUUAGAUACCCGGGUAGUCC
rnacentral:rRNA from 1 species